GAUGAACGCUGGCGGCGUGCCUAAUACAUGCAAGUCGAGCGAACAGACGAGGAGCUUGCUCCUCUGACGUUAGCGGCGGACGGGUGAGUAACACGUGGAUAACCUACCUAUAAGACUGGGAUAACUUCGGGAAACCGUAGCUAAUACCGGAUAACAUUGUGAACCGCAUGGUUCAACAGUGAAAGACGGUCUUGCUGUCACUUAUAGAUGGGUCCGCGCCGCAUUAGCUAGUUGGUAAGGUAAAGGCUUACCAAGGCAACGAUGCGUAGCCGACCUGAGAGGGUGAUCGGCCACACUGGAACUGAGACACGGCCCAGACUCCUACGGGAGGCAGCAGUAGGGAAUCUUCCGCAAUGGGCGAAAGCCUGACGGAGCAACGCCGCGUGAGUGAAGAAGGUCUUCGGAUCGUAAAACGCUGUUAUUAGGGAAGAAAAAAUGUGUACGUAACUAUGCACGUCUUGACGGUACCUAAUCAGAAAGCCACGGCUAACUACGUG
rnacentral:rRNA from 1 species